UAAAAAACGUACCAAAAGAGUUAAUAACAAAUUGUGAAGACACCUAUUAAUAGAUGUAAACACAAUUGUGUCCUCCUUUGUUAUUGACUGAGUUGCUGUUGAUUUCCUUGAUGCAACUUGAGUCUGUGUGGAUUCUGCUUUUAUCACUUUUGAGAUGAGCAUCGAUGACUCGAAUAGAUCAAGACCUCCACACCUUGGGAGUUUUAAAUGUUAUACUGUCUGGAAUUCAACGUUUUUAUAAAGUUCUUGUAUGGUCUGUUUAGAGCGGAGGGUCAGGCCCAUAAGGACUGAAGACCUAACUUGGUGUAUGAUCGUCAUUAUUUGAAGUCAAACCUGAGAAACUGUUAUUUCGGACUUAACUCAGACUUGAGCGUUGGCACCUCAGCUGCAAAGUUGAUUAAAAUUUCAUCUAAAUGUUAAUAAACUGCAGCAAUCAAAAUGAAUCUACUCUAAUCCCUGAGUUAAAGGUGCUUGAUUCAAUAUUCAGAGUAUUAAUAUUGCAGCGAACAGCUAUUUGCUUUGUAAAGAAAGAUGGAAGUAGUGUCUGCCUGAGCAGAGAGUUUCCCCGCCCUGACCAACACCACCCAUUCUCUGCCUCCGCCGCCCCACUGUUUGCUCUGCACUCACCACUUUGGCUGUAGUUUGCACUGUUAGCAACGUUAGCUGUGAUGUGCUGGAUCAGAAGUCGCCAUUGUUGAGAGCCGCCGGGAGGCAAAAAAAAUGCUUCCAGUCCCACAAAUAAGAUGUUGCUCCUCCAGAAGUACAUUUAAUUUCCAGAUUAGCAAAUUUCAAUGCUCAGCUGUUAAAAAAAGAACCACCUGUGGAGUUAAUUAAGUGUGAAGGUGUGAGGGGUGUGUAGAGGAGACUUAAAAACUCAGAUGCACUGUGGAUUGUGGACAACCAACAAGGAGCAUGAAGAGAUAUAAUGCAUUAUGUUUUGUGGUUCCAGACUCUCUACUAUUUCACCACUCGAAUGCUUUAACUUCACUGCUCAAGGCAAAGUAUUGUAGUGGUUUCAACUGCGACAUCAGCAAGCGUCCUGGAGCAGCUUGCAGAAUCUCUACAGAGAGAAGUGACUGCAGCACAGACGUUCAGUUUCAAAGGGGGUUGAAUAAAGACAUCAAUGUGGCCUCCCACUCUGCACGCUUCAUUUUAUCCCUAAAGGCCGGCGCAUGCGUCUGCGUCGUUGCGUCGACGCACUCGUUUCAAUCCAUGGUUCUAAAAGUCUUGCGUGUGUUGCAGAGCGAUUCACCGCCAGAACAACAGGCGGGGUGACGUGUUUUGUUGAAGACGACCUAGAGAGUCACGUCUGUUUAUUUAUUUGUUUGUUUAUUUAUCAUAGACUUUAUUGCCCCGUGCAUCGACACUGCUGCUUCUCAUCGCGGACACAUUUGUCCCGUAUUUUCCUCCACAACUUUGUGCACCUCGAUCUCCCUCCGUGAAUCCAACCCGCUUCUAUAACCCGCCAAUGACGGCUCGUAUAAGCGGUCACAUUUACGCAUUUCUACUGACAAAAGUUCUUCGAUCUGAUCCCUCGUAAACAUUCUUCGUUUUAAUAAUGGCGGUGUCGGGCUAUGAAAGCGGAAAUGUGAGACUCCGUAAAGGACGUAGUUAGCGGACCAAUCGCAGCCUGGUGCGCUAGAAAAAUGGGUCGACACACGCAAGGACGCAAGGAGGUGUGAAAAGCGACGCAAGGGACACGCAAGGGGGUCUUGCGUCUGCGUCGCUCUAAAAACGCAGAAGCACAAACUAGGCUUAAGAACCAAACCCCUCUGCUGAAAAACGAAAAAACAAAAAAAUCUUACCCCUGGUUGUAGGAAUAUGUUCAUUAAGCACAAUAAAAUAUUUAGCAGCCUCUAAAACCCAGGGACAAAGUUUUAAUGCAGUGCUAUAAAUUCAGGGCACUCCUUGGAUUUCUUGGCAGCCUCCAUUUAUUUAUUUGCUCUAUUUGUUUUGAUUUCGGACCCCAGGGUUAGUCGCUGAAGUGACGCAAAAUAGGAUAAAUGUGUGCACAGCAGUCCUGCCUGUUCUUUACCUGUA
ensembl:lncRNA